UCUUGCUUCUGGCUGUGAGUUUUAACAUACAAGAUGACAGCUUUUUCUAACAUGUGUUAAUGCCCUUACACUUCUAGCCUGCCUGGAACACAGGAAAAGGGAGCCUUGGGAGCCAAAGCAAUUCCUUGGGCAAGCAGAUGCAGUGCUUGCAGCUGGGACUCCAGGUCCCACCUCAGCUUCUGCAUCAACUUCACAGACAGUUGAGAUUCCAAGUGCAUCUCCACGCCAAAGUAAGGAAUCAUGACCAGAAAAAGUUUGGGGCAGAGCCGCACAAUGGUGAGUGCCUAUAGUCUCAGCUAGUCAGGAGGCUGAAGCAAGAGGAUCACGUGAGCCCAGGA
rnacentral:lncRNA from 1 species